rnacentral:rRNA from 1 species
ACGAACGUUGGCGGCGUGCUUAAUACAUGCAAGUCAACUGAAGCAGUGGUAGCAAUAUCGCUGUGGAGGUGGCGCACGGGUGAGUAACACGUAGGUAAUCUGCCUUCAGGUCUGGCAUAACUCCGGGAAACCGGGGCUAAUAGCAGAUGAUGCAGCGGCUCGACAUCGAGACAGUUGUUAAAGCUAUGGCGCCUGAAGAUGAGCCUGCGUCUGAUUAGCUAGUUGGCGGGGUAACGGCCCACCAAGGCAACGAUCAGUAGCUGGUCUGAGAGGAUGAUCAGCCACACUGGAACUGAGACACGGGCCAGACUCCUACGGGAGGCAACAGUAAGGAAUAUUGCUCAAUGGGGGAAAUCCUGAAGCAGCAACGCCGCGUGAGGGACGAAGGGCUUUUGCUUGUAAACCUCUGUAGUGAGAGAAAAAAAUCCCAAUCUUUGGGACAUGAUGGUAUCUCAAAAGUAAGCCCCGGCUAACUACGUG